CGGCUGGGAGACGGCGCUCGUCGCGGCGGGACGGGCUCGGGAGCGCUGCAGCGUUGUUCUGCAAGUGCCGGAGUUACGCCGCCUGAUGUUUGAGAAACAGCGUUGUGGGACAUAAAUCACACAGCCACAGGCAAGCGUCAGAAUGAAAGGACUCAAAUGAACAGAAAGUGCCAGGGCAAUAAUUGCAAGGAGCUGAAAUGUACAAGCAGUGACUGCAGAUACUCAACUGCUGGUUCUAUGAGAAUGAAGUUCAGUGUAAAGCAGUCACAUGCUGUCACUGUUUGGCAUACGUAACUACACAUUGCUGGAAUGGGUGUACUUCUCUGUGCCUGCAGAGAGUAGCAUAUCUCACAUGAAAGUAGUCACAGACUGGGAGCGGUUCGCUAUCUUUUUUUUUUGAGGUGUUGCUAGAAGAGAGAAGCAAAAUGGUCUAGGUAAACCUAUUGACUUAUUUUCCUCAAGUCAAUAAAUAUUUCCUAUUCAGCGAAAUCGAAUGCCGCUGAGAAAGAAAAUAAACAUUUGGCUUUUGUCU